rnacentral:rRNA from 1 species
CCUACGGGGUGCAGCAGUGGGGAAUAUUGGACAAUGGGGGGAACCCUGAUCCAGCGACGCCGCGUGAGUGAAGAAGUAUUUCGGUAUGUAAAGCUCUAUCAGCAGGGAAGAAAGAAAUGACGGUACCUGACUAAGAAGCCCCGGCUAACUACGUGCCAUCAGCCGCGGUAAUACGUAGGGGGCAAGCGUUAGCCGGAUUUACUGGGUGUAAAGGGGGCGUAGGCGGUAAGGCAAGUCUGAUGUGAAAGGCCAGGGCUCAACCCUGGGAAUGCAUUGGAAACUGUUUAACUGGAGUGUCGGAGAGGCAAGUGGAAUUCCUAGUGUAGCGGUGAAAUGCGUAGAUAUUAGGAGGAACACCAGUGGCGAAGGCGGCUUGCUGGACGAUGACUGACGCUGAGGCUCGAAAGCGUGGGGAGCAAACAGGAUCAGAUACCCUUGUAGUC